UAGGGAAUCUUCGGCAAUGGACGAAAGUCUGACCGAGCAACGCCGCGUGAGUGAAGAAGGUUUUCGGAUCGUAAAACUCUGUUGUUAGAGAAGAACAAGGACGUUAGUAACUGAACGUCCCCUGACGGUAUCUAACCAGAAAGCCACGGCUAACUACGUGCCAGCAGCCGCGGUAAUACGUAGGUGGCAAGCGUUGUCCGGAUUUAUUGGGCGUAAAGCGAGCGCAGGCGGUUUCUUAAGUCUGAUGUGAAAGCCCCCGGCUCAACCGGGGAGGGUCAUUGGAAACUGGGAGACUUUAGUGCAGAAGAGGAGGGUGGAAUUGCAGGUGUAGCGGUGAAAUGCGUAGAUAUAUGGAGGAACACCAGUGGCGAAGGCGGCUCUCUGGUCUGUAACUGACGCUGAGGCUCGAAAGCGUGGGGAGCAAACAGG
rnacentral:rRNA from 1 species